rnacentral:SRP_RNA from 1 species
GCUGGGCAUGGUGGCAUAUGCCUGUAAUCCCAGCUACUUGGGAGGCUGAGACAUAAGAAUUGCUUGAACCCAGGAGUCUGAGGUUGCAGCGAGUGGAGAUCGCACUACUGCAUUCCAGCCUGGGUGACAGAGUGAGACUCUGUCUCAA